UCUGCCUGGUAGUGGGGGAUAACGUCCGGAAACGGACGCUAAUACCGCAUACGUCCUACGGGAGAAAGCAGGGGACCUUCGGGCCUUGCGCUAUCAGAUGAGCCUAGGUCGGAUUAGCUAGUUGGUGGGGUAAUGGCUCACCAAGGCGACGAUCCGUAACUGGUCUGAGAGGAUGAUCAGUCACACUGGAACUGAGACACGGUCCAGACUCCUACGGGAGGCAGCAGUGGGGAAUAUUGGACAAUGGGCGAAAGCCUGAUCCAGCCAUGCCGCGUGUGUGAAGAAGGUCUUCGGAUUGUAAAGCACUUUAAGUUGGGAGGAAGGGCAGUAAAUUAAUACUUUGCUGUUUUGACGUUACCGACAGAAUAAGCACCGGCUAACUCUGUGCCAGCAGCCGCGGUAAUACAGAGGGUGCAAGCGUUAAUCGGAAUUACUGGGCGUAAAGCGCGCGUAGGUGGUUCGUUAAGUUGGAUGUGAAAUCCCCGGGCUCAACCUGGGAACUGCAUUCAAAACUGACGAGCUAGAGUAUGGUAGAGGGUGGUGGAAUUUCCUGUGUAGCGGUGAAAUGCGUAGAUAUAGGA
rnacentral:rRNA from 1 species